ACCCGCUGAACUUAAGCAUAUCAAUAAGCGGAGGAAAAGAAACCAACAGGGAUUGCCCCAGUAACGGCGAGUGAAGCGGCAACAGCUCAAAUUUGAAAUCUGGUCCCCUUGCGGGGCCCGAGUUGUAAUUUGAAGAGGAUGCUUCUGGCAAGGUGCCUUCCGAGUUCCCUGGAACGGGACGCCGCAGAGGGUGAGAGCCCCGUACGGUAGGACGCCGAGCCUCUGUGAAGCUCCUUCGACGAGUCGAGUAGUUUGGGAAUGCUGCUCAAAAUGGGAGGUAAACCCCUUCUAAAGCUAAAUACCGGCCAGAGACCGAUAGCGCACAAGUAGAGUGAUCGAAAGAUGAAAAGCACUUUGAAAAGAGAGUUAAAAAGCACGUGAAAUUGUUGAAAGGGAAGCGCUUGCGACCAGACUCGCGCCCGUCGGAUCAGCCGUCGCUUGUCGGCGGCGCACUCCGGCGGGCUCGGGCCAGCAUCAGUUCGCCUCGGGGGGAGAAAGGCGGCAGGAAUGUGGCUCCUCGGAGUGUUAUAGCCUGCCGUGUAAUACCCCCGGGCGGACUGAGGACCGCGCGUAUGCAAGGAUGCUGGCGUAAUGGUCGUCAGCGACCCGUCUUGAAACACGGACCAAGGAGUCGUCCUAAUAUGCGAGUGUACGGGUGUCAAACCCCUGCGCGUAAUGAAAGUGAACGGAGGUGAGAGCUUCGGCGCAUCAUCGACCGAUCCUGAUGUUCUCGGAUGGAUUUGAGUAAGAGCAUAUUGGGCCGGACCCGAAAGAAGGUGAACUAUGCCUGUGUAGGGUAAAGCCAGAGGAAACUCUGGUGGAGGCUCGCAGCGGUUCUGACGUGCAAAUCGAUCGUCAAACAUGGGCAUGGGGGCGAAAGACUAAUCGAACCUUCUAGUAGCUGGUUUCUGCCGAAUUUYCCCCUYAAGGA
rnacentral:sRNA from 1 species